GGCUCCGAGGCCGACGCGCCGCCCCGCCCUCCUUUUAACCUUGAGCGCUGCACGGUCCGGGCGAAGGAGACAGGAAAGGCCGCGGGCGGCGGGCGGCGCUAAGUCCGUCUCGCGGGAACUGAGCCACGGGAAGAGCGCCUCGCUUCGACCUUCUGCAGCGCUCCAGCUGCCAUUCGCGGAGGCGGAGUCGUUAACGCUGCUGCGGCCGGGCCUACACGCAUUUGCGGCAGGACCUUCGGGGGUCGACAAACAAAUCUCCUGGACAAGAUGCGGGGCUUUCAGAAGGCAUUCAGGUUCCUGAACGCGACAGUGCGGACUCAGAUCGUUCCUAGAGCGAAUGUACUCUCCAAACCACCUCAAGAAAUCCUAACAGCCACUGAUAAAACUAUUGCACUACUUGUGAUACAUGCAGCCAUCUUGAUCCCAUCUUAUUGGAUUAUGAGCCACCUGGAAGAUUACAAGAGACGACCCAGUGACUGAAAAGUAGGAGAAAUCCACUAUGAAUGCAGUCACAAAGAAGAGAAUGUCAAAAAGAAACUUCUGCUCUCGCUGAUGGAGAGUUAUCCAUGAUGGUUAUUAUAAUUAAUAAAUUUUAAAUCAUUACAGCUAAAA